rnacentral:sRNA from 1 species
AUGUCUUCUUCUUCCUCUUCUUCUCCUUGUUAAU